UCUUCAUUUAUAUUAGAAAAUAAACCCUGUAGCUAUAAGUUGAAAUUCAUGUGUCAAAAGUUGCACAAAAUGUUAUCCAUCCUCACUAAUUUCUAUAUUCUAACUCAUUGAUGGACUAAUUUGAAAGAAUACAAUAUUUUGGGACAAGAACACAAUUAUUCUAAAAUAUAACAAUACUUCAGAUCCCAUUCCCCUUCAAUUAAUUUUCUAACCAACAUAUCUAGAUCUAAACAUUAUUGAAGUAUAACAAACAAAACAAGAAGAAAGAAUGGUUGGAAAGCUUUUGUGGGACCCAUUACAACACAAGACCUUUUCCCAUGCGAAAGGACAAGCCAGAAAUAGUUCAACCCCAAGCUCACCAUCAAGAUUCAAGACCACCACCGCCCAAUUUUAAUUGAAAUCCAUAUCCCCUCAAGGUGAGAUCAGCAGCCAAGGGUUGGUGAGUGGAGAGAAGAAUUUUGAAGGUGGAAAAUGUGGGCCCCCGGAGAUGUUUUACCUUCCCAGAUGGCAUGGUGGGACCCAAUACUCACCACCCAAAAGUUGGCAGCACUUGUCUUUCCAUUCUUUUAUGACCAGAACCCCCAAUGAUCCUCUUUGAUCACAAUUGAACAGAAUUAAAAUUUGGUGCUGCCCCUGCUGAUUUUGAAUUCUGGGAAAAUUUGUAGAAAACAUGUAGAUGCAUCAGUAACUUAAUAAAACAAAAAUUUCUCUUUAUGAGAAACUAUCUUUAAAGAAUCAAAUCAUAAGAACAAUGAAAAAUAAAGUACAAGUAUUUACACAAACCUGUACAAUAAAACUUCUAGUUGAUCCAUAGUAAAGUCUUUAAAAAUGAUAACACAAACACAAGAAUGAAUCAGCUCUCGAACAUGGGCAUUAAUGUAGUAAUCUAUUGAUAAAUACAUGUUUCGUGUAAAAAAGGAUGACUGAUUAAAGAGAAAAGUUAACAUAACAAAUAUUUAAAAGAAACUUGUACUACCUAAAGUGCUUGGUAAUGCAAGCCAUAAUUAGGAACACAAUGACCAUAACAUGGCAAAUUAGGA
rnacentral:lncRNA from 1 species